ACAGUACAAACUGAGCAGGCAAUGCCCGAACGGGCAUGGAGCCGGGCCGCCAUCGCGGCAGCAGAUGGUCUUGACGCAUCUGUGGGACAGU
rnacentral:ncRNA from 1 species